ACUGUUCAGUAUUCAGAAUAGACUUGCACAAAUCUACUUUCAUCAGACUUUAUAUGAUUUUACAGUCUUUACAAUCCUCAAUACAAUUUUCACACAGUUCAAUCAGAAUACAUGCAACUCGUAUAAAUUGUGUUUCACUGCGUUAUGUUUGCUUAAUAUCCAAGUAAUUUAAAAGUUUGGCUAACAGUUUGAUCUUUGUUUUGUCAGAUUUAUCAGAGCACUUGUCCAGAACUAUAUAUUAUAUUUCAUGUUCUUUUUUUCAAGUCAUGAAAAGGAAAAUGUAUUUCAGAAAUCACAUACCUGCAAUGGUUUUAGAUACACGGGUCAUGAUAACACCUGUAAUGGUGGAUACCGGGGACACAUGUAGGGCCAUCUGCAAGCUUUGUCUUUCUUGUUUUAGAGUUUUUAGCACAAAAUAGUUUAAUUUAUCCUAGAAGGAGAGGCAUGGAGUUUGCUGGUAAGGGCUGCUGCAAGUUUUGUUGAUACUCAUAUGUAAGUGAUAAGUGAAUCGAUACAAGUGAAAAUGAUCUCAAGAUUUUGUGGUUUAGACAGAACGGAGGUUUUACAUCUGAAACGAAGACCAAAUUGUUUUUGUGUUAAUGUCAUGCAGUGAUGCCUUCUCUUGUCAAUUCUUGCUCUUCCUCAGUCAGAAUAAAGAUUUUUUUCAGUUAUGUCUCUA